GGUUAAGCGACUAAGCGUACACGGUGGAUGCCCUGGCAGUCAGAGGCGAUGAAGGACGUGCUAAUCUGCGAUAAGCGUCGGUAAGGUGAUAUGAACCGUUAUAACCGGCGAUUUCCGAAUGGGGAAACCCAGUGUGAUUCGUCACACUAUCAUUAACUGAAUCCAUAGGUUAAUGAGGCGAACCGGGGGAACUGAAACAUCUAAGUACCCCGAGGAAAAGAAAUCAACCGAGAUUCCCCCAGUAGCGGCGAGCGAACGGGGAGCAGCCCAGAGCCUGAAUCAGUGUGUGUGUUAGUGGAAGCGUCUGGAAAGGCGCGCGAUACAGGGUGACAGCCCCGUACACAAAAAUGCACAUGCUGUGAGCUCGAUGAGUAGGGCGGGACACGUGGUAUCCUGUCUGAAUAUGGGGGGACCAUCCUCCAAGGCUAAAUACUCCUGACUGACCGAUAGUGAACCAGUACCGUGAGGGAAAGGCGAAAAGAACCCCGGCGAGGGGAGUGAAAAAGAACCUGAAACCGUGUACGUACAAGCAGUGGGAGCACGCUUAGGCGUGUGACUGCGUACCUUUUGUAUAAUGGGUCAGCGACUUAUAUUCUGUAGCAAGGUUAACCGAAUAGGGGAGCCGAAGGGAAACCGAGUCUUAACUGGGCGUUAAGUUGCAGGGUAUAGACCCGAAACCCGGUGAUCUAGCCAUGGGCAGGUUGAAGGUUGGGUAACACUAACUGGAGGACCGAACCGACUAAUGUUGAAAAAUUAGCGGAUGACUUGUGGCUGGGGGUGAAAGGCCAAUCAAACCGGGAGAUAGCUGGUUCUCCCCGAAAGCUAUUUAGGUAGCGCCUCGUGAAUUCAUCUCCGGGGGUAGAGCACUGUUUCGGCAAGGGGGUCAUCCCGACUUACCAACCCGAUGCAAACUGCGAAUACCGGAGAAUGUUAUCACGGGAGACACACGGCGGGUGCUAACGUCCGUCGUGAAGAGGGAAACAACCCAGACCGCCAGCUAAGGUCCCAAAGUCAUGGUUAAGUGGGAAACGAUGUGGGAAGGCCCAGACAGCCAGGAUGUUGGCUUAGAAGCAGCCAUCAUUUAAAGAAAGCGUAAUAGCUCACUGGUCGAGUCGGCCUGCGCGGAAGAUGUAACGGGGCUAAACCAUGCACCGAAGCUGCGGCAGCGACACUAUGUGUUGUUGGGUAGGGGAGCGUUCUGUAAGCCUGUGAAGGUGUGCUGUGAGGCAUGCUGGAGGUAUCAGAAGUGCGAAUGCUGACAUAAGUAACGAUAAAGCGGGUGAAAAGCCCGCUCGCCGGAAGACCAAGGGUUCCUGUCCAACGUUAAUCGGGGCAGGGUGAGUCGACCCCUAAGGCGAGGCCGAAAGGCGUAGUCGAUGGGAAACAGGUUAAUAUUCCUGUACUUGGUGUUACUGCGAAGGGGGGACGGAGAAGGCUAUGUUGGCCGGGCGACGGUUGUCCCGGUUUAAGCGUGUAGGCUGGUUUUCCAGGCAAAUCCGGAAAAUCAAGGCUGAGGCGUGAUGACGAGGCACUACGGUGCUGAAGCAACAAAUGCCCUGCUUCCAGGAAAAGCCUCUAAGCAUCAGGUAACAUCAAAUCGUACCCCAAACCGACACAGGUGGUCAGGUAGAGAAUACCAAGGCGCUUGAGAGAACUCGGGUGAAGGAACUAGGCAAAAUGGUGCCGUAACUUCGGGAGAAGGCACGCUGAUAUGUAGGUGAAGUCCCUCGCGGAUGGAGCUGAAAUCAGUCGAAGAUACCAGCUGGCUGCAACUGUUUAUUAAAAACACAGCACUGUGCAAACACGAAAGUGGACGUAUACGGUGUGACGCCUGCCCGGUGCCGGAAGGUUAAUUGAUGGGGUUAGCCGCAAGGCGAAGCUCUUGAUCGAAGCCCCGGUAAACGGCGGCCGUAACUAUAACGGUCCUAAGGUAGCGAAAUUCCUUGUCGGGUAAGUUCCGACCUGCACGAAUGGCGUAAUGAUGGCCAGGCUGUCUCCACCCGAGACUCAGUGAAAUUGAACUCGCUGUGAAGAUGCAGUGUACCCGCGGCAAGACGGAAAGACCCCGUGAACCUUUACUAUAGCUUGACACUGAACAUUGAGCCUUGAUGUGUAGGAUAGGUGGGAGGCUUAGAAGUGUGGACGCCAGUCUGCAUGGAGCCGACCUUGAAAUACCACCCUUUAAUGUUUGAUGUUCUAACGUUGACCCGUAAUCCGGGUUGCGGACAGUGUCUGGUGGGUAGUUUGACUGGGGCGGUCUCCUCCUAAAGAGUAACGGAGGAGCACGAAGGUUGGCUAAUCCUGGUCGGACAUCAGGAGGUUAGUGCAAUGGCAUAAGCCAGCUUGACUGCGAGCGUGACGGCGCGAGCAGGUGCGAAAGCAGGUCAUAGUGAUCCGGUGGUUCUGAAUGGAAGGGCCAUCGCUCAACGGAUAAAAGGUACUCCGGGGAUAACAGGCUGAUACCGCCCAAGAGUUCAUAUCGACGGCGGUGUUUGGCACCUCGAUGUCGGCUCAUCACAUCCUGGGGCUGAAGUAGGUCCCAAGGGUAUGGCUGUUCGCCAUUUAAAGUGGUACGCGAGCUGGGUUUAGAACGUCGUGAGACAGUUCGGUCCCUAUCUGCCGUGGGCGCUGGAGAACUGAGGGGGGCUGCUCCUAGUACGAGAGGACCGGAGUGGACGCAUCACUGGUGUUCGGGUUGUCAUGCCAAUGGCACUGCCCGGUAGCUAAAUGCGGAAGAGAUAAGUGCUGAAAGCAUCUAAGCACGAAACUUGCCCCGAGAUGAGUUCUCCCUGACCCUUUAAGGGUCCUGAAGGAACGUUGAAGACGACGACGUUGAUAGGCCGGGUGUGUAAGCGCAGCGAUGCGUUGAGCUAACCGGUACUAAUGAACCGUGAGGCUUAACCUU
rnacentral:rRNA from 1 species